CUGUCUGCCAUGGCGGGUGGGUGAAAGACCCGAGCUAACAUGGGGUUAGUUCGUUAAAUUACAAUAAAGCCUCGUGCAGUUUGCAGCAAGCUCUCGAAUCCGCCUGGUGAUUGGGGUGACCGCGAACCUGGCCUGAGACCCCGGAUACUUGAGUUUUCGGGGGUCUAACAUUUUGGGGGCUCGUCCGGGAUUUGCGACCACCCCUCACCUGAGUGGAGUCGAUCUUGGAGUUUAUAAUGUCAGACAGACCGCCAGAUCCGGACAGUGACCCAAAGUCUCCAAAGAAGAUUACGAGGCACCUCAGUUCCUGCACCUGGACCAGUGAGCAAGAUGCUCAGAUGUGAUACCUGCCGCCUGCCAGAACCUAGCCGAGACUGUGGACAAAGCUGCUGGACACUGGAAAAUUGAUUGCACCCCUUUGCCUAGACAAAACAAGGUCAGUCUUUUCCAUGUCCCUCUUCCACAGAGAGAAAAAAACUCUCACAGUAUAGGCCUGGCGAAGAUUGCUGGUCUUUGAGACACCUGCCUCCAGCGGUAAUGGAGAAACUUGGGUUUGGCUAACUGUAUAUAGACUGGCUUCUGUCACUUUUUAGUAGAUUCGGAUAAAAUAUACCCUUCUCAGAUCUCUGAAAUAUUACUGGUUGUCAGCUUGACAGCAUCAGGCAGUCAGAUCCACUAUAGACUAGUCAGUAUGUUAGCUGAUAAAAUAGUAACUAUCUACUGUUCAGGCACAAGCUCAAGGUUUUUAAGUUUAUUUUGGUUGUCAUCUAAGUACAAACUUAAAGGGCUUUUCAUCAGGCCAAAGGCACCUCUGUCCAAUCCAUACCUGGCUCUCUGGACAGAAGAGAAAUGUACAUGCUUAUAGCCCAAAUCUGUAGUUUUUGCUAGGACUCAAAGUUAUAAAUAUGUUCUUGCUGUUUAAACAGAUAUCUGCUUUUUCUACACUGUGGGCUUCAGUAAAUAAGUUUUAACCUCUGUUCCUAGUUUAAACAUGUCUUAAACAGGUUUCUGCUUCUGGCAGACAUCUGAAUAUCAGUUGCUGACUACAGACUGUUCUAAGACUGCGAGCCCUGGACUUGCUGUGGAUGUGAACCAGUUCAGCUGAUAUGGACACCCCCUGUCUCUGCAACAGUGUCUGCUAACCAGAAGCCCCUGAUGAAUUCCCCAUUGCCUAAAUUCCUUUUUGCUUUUGACUAGCAUUUCAACCUUCUGGGGUCCCUAACUUCGUCCCAAAGUCAGCAGGAAGCAGUUUGGAAAAGAAUUUCGCCGUCCAUUUUCCCUGGUUAAAAUGCUAAGUCAAAGGGAACUCCCUUGCAUGGGGAUGCCAGUAUCUAUCACUCCCUGAUGGGGAUGCUAGAGAGACAGCAAUUCCAUGAUUGGAAUUUACAAAAAAGAAAAUGGGGGAAUGAAGGAACCGGCUUCCCUUUUGGCAGCCAUAAUGGUCGAACAUGUGCUUCUAUGACCUUGUCCUAGAAACCAGAAAGUCAGAUGCCUGUCUUGUGACAAGGAACCAAUCAGAAGUUAGCUGGUGGUGCUAUGCUUUAUGGCUCUGGGUGUGCUUUACGGACAAGCGCACAGCAAUGACGUAGAGAGCAUAGCAACCACCCUGGGAGGGCCUAUGAGCCAUAAC
rnacentral:lncRNA from 1 species